GUGGGGAAUCUUCCGCAAUGGACGAAAGUCUGACGGAGCGACGCCGCGUGAGUGAAGAAGGCCUUCGGGUCGUAAAGCUCUGUCAUCAGGGACGAACGGCCGGUGGAGUGGAAAGCCACCGGAUUGACGGUACCUGAGAAGGAAGCCACGGCUAACUACGUGCCAGCAGCCGCGGUAAUACGUAGGUGGCAAGCGUUGUCCGGAAUUAUUGGGCGUAAAGCGCGCGCAGGUGGGAUCUUAAGUCCAUUUUUAAAGUUCGGAGCUCAACUCCGUGAGGGGAUGGAAACUGGGAUUCUUGAGUACCGGAGAGGAAAGCGGAAUUCCCCGUGUAGCGGUGAAAUGCGUAGAUAUGGGGAGGAACACCAGUGGCGAAGGCGGCUUUCUGGACGGUGUCUGACACUGAGGCGCGAAAGCCAGGGGAGCGAACGGGAUUAGAAACCCGAGUAGUCC
rnacentral:rRNA from 1 species